UUCCAGACUCCUACGGGAGGCAGCAGUGGGGAAUAUUGCACAAUGGGGGGAACCCUGAUGCAGCGACGCCGCGUGGGUGAAGGAGUAUUUCGGUAUGUAAAGCCCUAUCAGCAGGGAAGAACAAUGACGGUACCUGACUAAGAAGCACCGGCUAAAUACGUGCCAGCAGCCGCGGUAAUACGUAUGGUGCAAGCGUUAUCCGGAUUCACUGGGUGUAAAGGGAGCGUAGACGGCGACGCAAGUCUGGAGUGAAAGCCCGGGGCCCAACCCCGGGACUGCUCUGGAAACUGCGGCGCUGGAGUACGGGAGGGGCAGGCGGAAUUCCUGGUGUAGCGGUGAAAUGCGUAGAUAUCAGGAGGAACACCGGCGGCGAAGGCGGCCUGCUGGACCGUGACUGACGUUGAGGCUCGAGAGCGUGGGGAGCAAACAGGAUUAGAUACCCCCGUAA
rnacentral:rRNA from 1 species